rnacentral:misc_RNA from 1 species
AAGUCGUAACAAGGUCUCCGUUGGUGAACCAGCGGAGGGAUCAUUAAAGAGUUGCAAAACUCCCACAAACCAUCGCGAACGUUACCCCAUUACCGUUGCUUCGGCGGACGGGGCCUCCCUUCCAGGGGGCCCUCCCGCCGGAGGGACAUAACCUAACUCUUAUUAUUAUUGGCCUCUCUGAGUAUGAUUUACAAAUAAGUCAAAACUUUCAACAACGGAUCUCUUGGUUCUG